AAGAGUUAUUUAACUCCUAAAACCCCAUGUGAACUUACCUAUGUUGCCUCGGCGGGGAACCUACCCGGGAGCUGCUCUUGAGCGGCCUAUCCGGUACCUACUCGGUAGCUACGCUGUAGUUGUAGGCUUACCCGCCGGCGGACCAUUAAAAACUCUUAUUUAUUUUGGCACUUCUGAAUUAUUAUCAUAAUAAGUUA
rnacentral:misc_RNA from 1 species